rnacentral:pre_miRNA from 1 species
UAAUCUAUCUAUGACAAAUCCUCAUCUAGUUGUGGCAGAUCUAUACCUAAUUGCUUAAAAUCACCGGUUAUUGCAAGUCUAACUACAUGAUUCACACUUAUAAAACAUAUUUAGAAGAAAAAAUACAUAAAAUUAUAGAUU